AUUUGAUUUUUUUUUACAAAAUAAAAUUGAGAAUGGAAAUGGGGAAUGUGCCAAAGAGACAACAACCCGACCAUAGAAAAAAAACAACAGCAGAAGGUCACCAACAGGUCUUCAAUGUAGCGAAAAAUUCCCGCACCCGGAGGCGUCCUUCAGCUGGCCCCUAAACAAAUAUAUACUAGUGCAGUGAUAAUGAACGCCAGAC
rnacentral:lncRNA from 1 species